AUUUCAAAAUCACACUAAAUGCUAAAGAGCAUCAACAUAAUGAAGAAUCUACAACAACUAACAAGCAAAACAGCCAGCUAGCAUCAAAAUGGCAGUAUCAAAUUCACACAUAACAAUAUUAACCCCGUGGGGCCCGAAGCAUUUACUUUGAAAAAAUUAGAGUGUUCAAAGCAGGACCGAGCCGCCUGGAUACUGCAGCUAGGAAUAAUGGAAUAGGACCGCGGUUCUAUUUUGUUGGUUUUCGGAACUGAGGCCAUCAUUAAGAGGGACGGCCGGGGGCAUUCGUAUUGCGCCGCUAGAGGUGAAAUUCUUGGACUGGCGCAAGACGGACCAGAGCGAAAGCAUUUGCCAAGAAUGUUUUCAUUAAUCAAGAACGAAAGUCGGAGGUUCGAAGACGAUCAGAUACUGUCGUAGUUCCGACCAUAAACGAUGCCGACUGGUGAUGCGGCGGCGUUAUUCCCAUAGACAACAGAUGCUGGAGAGGAUGUGGAGAAAAAGGAACACUUUUACACUGUUGGU
rfam:Callithrix jacchus chromosome 9, whole genome shotgun sequence